AGAGUUUGAUCAUGGCUCAGAUUGAACGCUGGCGGCAUGCCUUACACAUGCAAGUCGAACGGCAGCAUGAUCUAGCUUGCUAGAUUGAUGGCGAGUGGCGAACGGGUGAGUAAUACAUCGGAACGUGCCCUGUAGUGGGGGAUAACUAGUCGAAAGAUUAGCUAAUACCGCAUACGACCUGAGGGUGAAAGUGGGGGACCGCAAGGCCUCAUGCUAUAGGAGCGGCCGAUGUCCGAUUAGCUAGUUGGUGAGGUAAAGGCUCACCAAGGCGACGAUCAGUAGCUGGUCUGAGAGGACGAUCAGCCACACUGGGACUGAGACACGGCCCAGACUCCUACGGGAGGCAGCAGUGGGGAAUUUUGGACAAUGGGCGAAAGCCUGAUCCAGCAAUGCCGCGUGUGUGAAGAAGGCCUUCGGGUUGUAAAGCACUUUUGUCCGGAAAGAAAUGGCUCUGGUUAAUACCUGGGGUCGAUGACGGUACCGGAAGAAUAAGGACCGGCUAACUACGUGCCAGCAGCCGCGGUAAUACGUAGGGUCCAAGCGUUAAUCGGAAUUACUGGGCGUAAAGCGUGCGCAGGCGGUUGUGCAAGACCGAUGUGAAAUCCCCGAGCUUAACUUGGGAAUUGCAUUGGUGACUGCACGGCUAGAGUGUGUCAGAGGGGGGUAGAAUUCCACGUGUAGCAGUGAAAUGCGUAGAGAUGUGGAGGAAUACCGAUGGCGAAGGCAGCCCCCUGGGAUAACACUGACGCUCAUGCACGAAAGCGUGGGGAGCAAACAGGAUUAGAUACCCUGGUAGUCCACGCC
rnacentral:rRNA from 1 species